UUAAAAGCAAUGCAUCCACUUUAAAGUUUGUAUCAUGAACUACGAGGUUUUGAUCCCUCAUUUCUAUGUUGGUACGUAGGCACAAGACCGAAGGUCUUGCCAAACACAAAAAUAUAAUUAAUGAAUUCUUUUCUCAUCCCCCCAUUCUAUUUGUUUGUAAACAUCAUUUUUUUACCAAAUACAUAUGCACACAAAAAGGGCUCCCUAGGAGUACCUAGGACACUUUGGGUGCUAACACCUUCCCUC
rnacentral:lncRNA from 1 species